GAAAUGCGAUAAGUAAUGUGAAUUGCAGAAUUCAGUGAAUCAUCGAAUCUUUGAACGCACCUUGCACUCCUUGGUAUUCCGAGGAGUAUGCCUGUUUGAGUGUCAUUAAAUUCUCAAACCUUUACUGUCUUUAUUGACGGUCGAGGCUUUGGAUGUGGGAGCUGCUGGACUCUUAACGAGAUCAGCUCUCCUUAAAUGCAUUAGUGGUUACUGUUUUCCACUACCAGGUUGUGAUAAUAUCUACGCCUAGGUGGAAAUGUUAAGUGUAGCUGCUUUCUAACCGUCCAUGCAAUGUGGACAACUUGAACCAUUUGACCUCAAAUCAGGUAGGACUACCCGCUGAACUUAA
rnacentral:misc_RNA from 1 species